UAAGAAUAAGUUUCUUACAUUCUCUAUUUCCUCUUUGUCUCCAUAAUCUCUAUAAUCCUAAUUCAUAUGUUUAUACUUUAUACAUUGUUGCUAUUAGGUCGUUGUUUCACAACACGUUAUCAGCACGAAAGUGCUCUAUGUCCUAAAUCAAUCUCGCACGCUGAGAAAGCAGCCAAAUAAUUAUCCAAAAAGAUGAAGGUAUGAUGCUUCAUAAAAUCCCAUAUAGCAAUUUUUAUAUUUCAUUACAUGUUAAAUAAUGAAGCAACACACACUACAAUACAUAUUUUAUAAUAACUGUUGUCACAAAACAAUUUGAGAAUAGAUACUUAACGUAUUACAUGAUCUCUUUUUCUAACUUUAUUUAUAGUCACUAUAUUUGCUUUUGAUGAUUAUAUGACUAAUUUAGCCACACAUAUUCAUAAUACGAUAAUUCUUGUUGUUUACCAAAUGUUCCACACUAACUACAUUUAUAGCAUAAAUUUUUUACAGCAUACGAAAUCAUGAUUAAAAAAAAACAACAUACUAUGUAAUUUAGAUAUAUUACAAUUCUUUUCAUAUAUUUAUAUAUUACAUAAUAUAAUUUAGUCAUAUCACGCUUAUGCUACCAUUUGCAUUAAUUUAUCAAAGAUUUUAGUGUGAUGCUUCCAUUAGUUAGUUGCUCAUUUUGUUCAAUUCAUAACUUUUGUUAUUUUAGCGUUGUACCUGCUUUACAAAUUAUCAAACCACUAAAAUCCUUAUAUGGUUUUAAUUUUAUGAACUAAAGAAUUAUUAUCUAUCAAUUAAUACUUUUAAUAAACCCAAUUAAUUUAUUUUUAUUGGUGAUCCCGUGCAGUCUUUUACUUUUAAUUUAGAUGAAAAUAGAUUUCUGUUUGUCGGGUUUACUGCCACUACCAAGCAAACCCAAUUUCACACUGUCUAGUGGAACCCAUUUGUCAUUGGUCAUCUAACAGUCUUCAAAAUGAACCAAUAAUUUUACAAAUAUAAUUAUUAUAUGACUAUCAUUAAUUUAUUAUGCAAAUUUAUGAAUAGUUCAAGUUAAGUUUGACUCAAACUUCAUGCUACAUGGUUUUAUUUUAAUAAUAUAUAUUUUCUUGAAUUAGAUUUAUGUAGUGUAAAAUCAACCGAUGUUUUAUAUUUUUUAUAUAUUAUUUUCAUUAAUAAGUAAAUCUUCAAGAUAGACAUAAUUGUGGUUAUAAAUAUUUAUUCUAUUAUAAAUAUAUCAUUUAUAGGCUCAACAUUAACAUAAGAGUAAAUACAAUGAGAAGUUAAGGAUGUGAAGAGUCACUAUAAUAAAUACAUGUUUUGUAAAACUGGCAUGUUAUAUCAUAAAGUUGUGUCAUAAGUUAUUGCUCAUAGUGACAUAAUAUAAAGUGAUGCAUUGUAUAAUCAUCACUUUUACAUAUUACCAUAAACUUUUUUUAAUAGUGUUCUUGAUAUAUUUUAAUAUUCAAUCAUGACAGUAAGUCAAAUUAAUUAUAUGUAUUUUAUUAUAUUGUAUUUGAUGAGAAGGCAUCUUAUAUCAAUUAUAUAUUAUACAAUUUUACUUUGUACAUUAUAUUUAAUAUGCCAUUGUUUAUGUAUAUAAACAGUCUUCAAUGAAGCAGAAUUAAAGUUGUGUAUAUGAUCACACGUUAUAAACAUGAUUGAAUAGUGAUCAAGAUUCAUUUAUAAUAUGACAUUCGAAGUUUCAAACUCACUAAAGCUUAUUGUAAAUUGAUUGAUACUUGUAAGAUUUUGGACUGAUAAAUCUUAAUGAUUCGGUCAUAUAAUUGAUAUUAUGUGGUGAAAAGAUUAGUUAUUCAUGUGGAAUAAAACAAGUUCCAAUGUCAAACCUCAAAUAUGCUCUUGAAGAAGCAAGAUUGUUAAAGAAUAUGUAAGGUUUGAAACGACCACCAUGAAAGUUGUGUGAUUCUAAUCCAUUCAUGAAGUGAAUGUGAUGAUAUAAUGACCAAUGUAAGGUCGCGAUCAUGUAUAUAACAACAAAGAAAAUUGUAAUGAUGUCACCAUGAUCAUUGUUUGGUUAUAAUCCAUUCCUUAAACUGAAUGUGAUGAUAUAAUAAUUGGUGUAAAGUUUGUAAUCAUGGUAAUUGAGAAAAUUGUUAUGAUGCUCAUGUAAUGAGAUCAACCAUGUUAAUAAUGUGAUGACUAUACGAUGAUCGUUAUAAAGGUCGUAAGAUAUAAGAUUGAUAAAUAUUAUACGACUCAACUACUUCUCAAUUGAUGGUAAGCAAAGAGAACAUUAUUUACAAAGAAAAAUUGAUUGUCACAUUUGAGACAUAUGCUCCUAAAGUAGCAAUAUCAUUAUAAGAGUCAUGGAAAAUGAAAUGCUUUUAUACUCAUGUGACCGAGUAAAUAAUGAAAAACUAUGAAGCUUGUUUUGGUCCUACUCCAUUCCCAAAAGUGAAUGUGAUUAUAUAUUAAUCAUUGUAUAUGUAAUGAUGGACCUAAUUGAGAAACUUGUAAUAAUGAGAUGGACCACCAAAAAUGGCAAACUAAGGAGUGAUUGCAUAAUGAGAUGGUUUUAACUUUGAAGUUAUAGUAUAUUCUCUCGUAUCAUACGUUUUGUAUUACAUACGAGCAAGUAAUACACAUACGAUCGUAAACCAGGAGUUUAUGGAUCAUAAUUAGUUAAUUAGUUGGCAUGACCGGUUAGACCACACCGAGUCAAUGAUGAUGUGAAACAUAAUGAAGAACUAGAAGAUUCUUCAAGAUAAUAAUUAGCAUGUAAUGUUUGCUCUCAAGGGAAAUUUGCAAAAUAAACAGGGGUGUGUAUACCUAAAUAUUAUGGAAGCGAUUAAAGGAUAUGCAUAUCCCAAAAUGAUACCAUUUAGUUUUUUUUAAAUCGAUGCAUCGUCUAAAUGGUUAUCAAAUCCACAACCUGAAGUUUGUGUGAUUAUGGCUUAGCUAAUGUGAUAGCAAGCAUAUUAAUCCGGAUUAGUAUAUUUAUUUGAUAAUCGUGAAUUUGAUUCCCAAGUUAUUAACGAUCAUUGGAAUAAGUGUUAUUGUGAUCAAUAAACGUCUACUAUUGGU
rnacentral:lncRNA from 1 species